GAUUAACGCUGGCGGCGUGCAUAACACAUGCAAGUCGAACGAUGAAACUUAACUGAUUUCUUCGGAAUGAUUUUAAGUGGAUUAGUGGCGGACGGGUGAGUAACGCGUGAGUAACCUGCCUUGGAGAAGGGGAUAGCCUUUGGAAACGAAGAAUAAUACCCUAUGAUAUGAUAAUAUCUCAUGAUAUUAUCAUCAAAGAUUUAUCGCUCUAAGAUGGACUUGCGUCUGAUUAGUUAGUUGGUGAGGUAACAGCUCACCAAGGCAGCGAUCAGUAGCCGGCUUGAGAGAGUGAACGGCCACAUUGGGACUGAGACACGGCCCAGACUCCUACGGGAGGCAGCAGUGGGGAAUUUUGCACAAUGGGGGAAACCCUGAUGCAGCGACGCCGCGUGAUUUAGAAGGCCUUCGGGUUGUAAAAAUCUUUUGUAUGGGAAGAAAAUGACAGUACCAUACGAAUAAGAACCGGCUAAUUACGUG
rnacentral:rRNA from 1 species